AGUAACACGUAGGUGACCUGCCCUGAAGUGGGGGAUAACAACUCGAAAGAGUUGCUAAUACCGCAUGUGACCACCGAUCCAUUUCGGUGCUCAAAGUCGCAAGACGCUUUUGGAGGGGCCUGCGGCGGAUUAGCUAGUUGGUGGGGUAACGGCCUACCAAGGCGUCGAUCCGUAGCUGGUCUGAGAGGAUGACCAGCCAGACUGGGACUGAGACACGGCCCAG
rnacentral:rRNA from 1 species